UACGUAGGGUGCAAGCGUUGUCCGGAAUUAUUGGGCGUAAAGAGCUCGUAGGCGGUCUGUCGCGUCGGCUGUGAAAACUCGGGGCUCAACCCCGAGCCUGCAGUCGAUACGGGCAGACUAGAGUGCUGUAGGGGAGACUGGAGUUCCUGGUGUAGCGGUGAAAUGCGCAGAUAUCAGGAGGAACACCGGUGGCGAAGGCGGGUCUCUGGGCAACAACUGACGCUGAGGAGCGAAAGCGUGGGGAGCGAACAGG
rnacentral:rRNA from 1 species